rnacentral:rRNA from 1 species
UACAGAGGUCUCGAGCGUUGUUCGGAUUCAUUGGGCGUAAAGGGUGCGUAGGUGGCGUGGUAAGUCUGGUGUGAAAUCCCGGGGCUCAACCCCGGAACUGCACUGGAUACUGCCAUGCUUGAGUACUGGAGAGGAGAUUGGAAUUUACGGUGUAGCAGUGAAAUGCGUAGAUAUCGUAAGGAAGACCAGUGGCGAAGGCGAAUCUCUGGACAGUUACUG